UUUAUUGAUUGAUUGGUUUUUAUUUUUAUUUUUAUUGAGACAGAGUUUUGCUCUGUCACCCAGGCUGGAGUGCAGUGGCGCAAUCUCGGCUCACUGCAAACUCUUUCUCCCAGGUUCAAAUGAUUCUCCUGCCUCAGCCUCCUGAGUAGCUGGGAUUAUAGGUGCACGCCACCACACCCAGCUAGUUUUUGUAUUUUAGUAGAGAUGGGGUUUCGCCAUUGUUGGUCAGGCUACUUUUGAACUCCUGACCUCAAGUGAUCCUCCUGCCCCAGCUGAGUUCUAUCUUUUCUGUUGUUGCAGUGUCGGCCCAGCUGGCAGAGACAAGUGCUGAACACACAACCACAUAAACAACGAGCAGGUGCCACGGGAGCGGGUGCCAGGAGAGCAAAUGCCACAGGACCAGGUGCCACGAGAGUGGGUGCCACGGGAGCGGGUGCCAGGAGAGCAAAUGCCACGGGUCUGGGUGCCACGAGAGUGGGUGCCACGGGAGCAGGCACAUGUGUCCACUUCCUCCCCCACUCCUUCCUCGGGCUGAGAACAGCAAGUGGAGUAUGGCAGGCAUCCCUCCAGGGCUGUCAGGAGCAGUGGGGUUGGACGUAGGGGUGGGCUGGGAGGUGGGAUGCUGAGGCAAUCGG
rnacentral:lncRNA from 1 species